CAAACGCUAGACCCUAAAACACUCUUGCUUCUUCCUGCUACCACACAUUUUCCCAUUAAAUGGCUUCUGGAAAAAGCAAUCCCCUAGACACACAGAUGAACAUAGGACCCAGGCAUCUCCAUUUCUCCCAGCAAUACCGGUAGGAAGAAAAAAUGGGGGAGGGGCACAAACGUUAAGCAUCUUUUCCCUGUGAUUGACAUGGCCAAAGCCUUUCUACCACAGAAGAGAAUAAGGCACCCCUUCAGGUGAAGCAGAAAUGAGAAAUGUACAUUGGCAAAGAAAUGAAACAUUGGCAAAGAACUGAGUAGGUCCAUUUCAUCUGAGAUUCAGGUCUUCCUUUGAAUCAGAGAGUUACUUACUAGAGCAACAUUUCCAACACAAUGUUCCAAUAAUUCACUUCUGUUUUUGUUUAAACUACUUUAAGCUAGACAACUCCCAGUAAAGCCAAGAGAAUUCUGU
rnacentral:lncRNA from 1 species